AUUGAACGCUGGCGGCAUGCCUUACACAUGCAAGUCGAACGGCAGCACGGGUGCUUGCACCUGGUGGCGAGUGGCGAAAGGGUGAGUAAUACAUCGGAACAUGUCCUGUAGUGGGGGAUAGCCCGGCGAAAGCCGGAUUAAUACCGCAUACGAUCUACGGAUGAAAGUGGGGGGCCAUCGGGCCUCGCGCUAUACUGUUGGCCGAUGGCUGAUUAGUUAGUUGGCGGGGUAAAGGCCUACCAGGGCGACGAUCAGUAAAUCGUCUAAGAGGACGACCAGCCACACUGGGACUAAGACACGGCCCAGACUCCUACGGGAGGCAGCAGUGGGGAAUUUUGGACAAUGGACGAAAGCCUGAUCCAGCAAUGCCGCGUGUGUGAAGAAGGCCUUCGGGUUGUAAAGCACUUUUGUCCGUAAAGAAAUCCUUGGCUCUAAUACAGUCGGGGGAUGACGGUACCGGAAGAAUAAGCACCGGCUAACUACGUG
rnacentral:rRNA from 1 species